AUAAUCAAACCAAGUAAUAAAACAAUUCACUCUAUGGAUCCUAUGGGAAAACAGAUAAAUUCCAUCAAAAAAGAAGAAGUAAAAUGGAAUUUGCUGAAAAUUAUAUAAAUGGAGAAGUAUUGGUGCGCGUCUUUCCACUUAAAGAAGUUAAUGCAUACAGAAAAAGAGAUAAAGGAGGUCAAAAAAGUUGGCAGAAUAGUUUGUGUCGCAUUUGUGGAAGUGAAAUUGGUCCAAAAACUAGAAAAAUCAAAAAAAAGUUAAAUGGAUAAAAUGAGAUAUUUGCAUCCCAAAUCGAUGGUACCG
rnacentral:lncRNA from 1 species